rnacentral:rRNA from 1 species
AUUGAACGCUGGCGGCAUGCCUUACACAUGCAAGUCGAACGGCAACGGACCUUCGGGUGCCGGCGAGUGGCGAACGGGUGAGUAAUAUAUCGGAACGUACCUUUCAGUGGGGGAUAACGUAGCGAAAGUUACGCUAAUACCGCAUAUUCUGUGAGCAGGAAAGCAGGGGAUCGCAAGACCUUGCGCUGAUUGAGCGGCCGAUAUCAGAUUAGCUAGUUGGUGAGGUAAAGGCUCACCAAGGCGACGAUCUGUAGCGGGUCUGAGAGGAUGAUCCGCCACACUGGAACUGAGACACGGUCCAGACUCCUACGGGAGGCAGCAGUGGGGAAUUUUGGACAAUGGGCGCAAGCCUGAUCCAGCCAUGCCGCGUGAGUGAAGAAGGCC